CUUAAUAUAGUAUAACUAUUACACUAUCUUUUCACGAUAAAAAUGGGUGUCUUUUCGCCCUAUUAAGG
rnacentral:tRNA from 1 species